rnacentral:rRNA from 1 species
ACGUACGCUGGCGGCACGCCUAACACAUGCAAGUCGAACGAAGUAGCAAUACUUAGUGGCAGACGGGUGAGUAACAUGUAGGUAUCUGCCCUUUGGCCUGGAAUAACACGAGGAAACUUGUGCUAAUACCGGAUAAGUCUUUACGGAGAAAGCUUUAUGCACCAUUGGAUGAGCCUGCACUUGAUUAGUUUGUUGGUGGGGUAAUGGCCUACCAAGACUGUGAUCAAUAGCUGAUUUGAGAGGAUGAUCAGCCACAUUGGGACUGAGACACGGCCCAAACUCCUACGGGAGGCAGCAGUGGGGAAUCUUGCACAAUGGAGGAAACUCUGAUGCAGCGAUGCCGCGUGAGUGAAGAAGGCCUUUGGGUUGUAAAGCUCUUUCGUCGGGGAAGAAAAUGACUGUACCCGAAUAAGAAGGUCCGGCUAACUUCGUGCCAGCAGCCGCGGUAAUACGAAGGGACCUAGCGUAGUUCGGAAUUACUGGGCUUAAAGAGUUCGUAGGUGGUUGAAAAAGUUAGUGGUGAAAUCCCAGAGCUUAACUCUGGAACUGCCAUUAAAACUUUUCAGCUAGAGUAUGAUAGAGGAAAGCAGAAUUUCUAGUGUAGAGGUGAAAUUCGUAGAUAUUAGAAAGAAUACCAAUUGCGAAGGCAGCUUUCUGGAUCAUUACUGACACUGAGGAACGAAAGCAUGGGUAGCGAAGAGGAUUAGAUACCCUCGUAGUCCAUGCCGUAAACGAUGUGUGUUAGACGUUGGAAAUUUAUUUUCAGUGUCGCAGGGAAACCGAUAAACACACCGCCUGGGGAGUACGACCGCAAGGUUAAAACUCAAAUGAAUUGACGGGGACCCGCACAAGUAGUGGAGCAUGUGGUUUAAUUCGAAGAUACGCGCAGAACCUUACCAACACUUGACAUGUUCGUCGCAACUCUAAGAGAUUAGAGUUUUCGGUUCGGCCGGACGAAACACAGGUGCUGCAUGGCUGUCGUCAGCUCGUGUCGUGAGAUGUUGGGUUAAGUCCCGCAACGAGCGCAACCCUCACUUUUAGUUGCCAUCAUUAAGUUGGGCACUCUAAAAGAACUGCCAGUGAUAAGCUGGAGGAAGGUGGGGAUGACGUCAAGUCCUCAUGGCCCUUACGUGUUGGGCUACACACGUGCUACAAUGGUAUCUACAACAGGAAGCAAGACGGCGACGUCAAGCAAAUCCCUAAAAGAUACCUCAGUUCGGAUUGCACUCUGCAACUCGAGUGCAUGAAGCUGGAAUUACUAGUAAUCGUGGAUCAGCGUGCCACGGUGAAUGCGUUCCCGGGUCUUGUACUCACCGCC